rnacentral:rRNA from 1 species
CGGAGGGUGCAAGCGUUAUCCGGAUUUACUGGGUUUAAAGGGUGUGUAGGCGGACUUUUAAGUCAGGGGUGAAAUCCCGAGGCUCAACCUCGGAACUGCCUUUGAUACUAUUCGUCUUGAAUCUUGUUGAGGUGGGCGGAACGGGUCAUGUAGCGGUGAAAUGCAUAGAUAUGACCCGGAACACCGAUUGCGAAGGCAGCCCGCUAAGCAAGCAUUGACGCUGAGGCACGAAAGCGUGGGGAUCAAACAGGAUU